GGUGAGAUGGCCGAGUGGUUAAGGCGCUAGACUCAAGAAUUCUGUUCUUGCCUGCAAAAGCAGGUCGUAUUCUAGUAUCGAAAGAUGCAGGGGUUCGAAUCCCCUUCUCAUCA